AUUGAACGCUGGCGGCAGGCCUAACACAUGCAAGUCGAGCGGAUGAAGAGAGCUUGCUCCUGGAUUCAGCGGCGGACGGGUGAGUAAUGCCUAGGAAUCUGCCUGGUAGUGGGGGAUAACGUCCGGAAACGGGCGCUAAUACCGCAUACGCCCUGAGGGAGAAAGUGGGGGAUCUUCGGACCUCACGCUAUCAGAUGAGCCUAGGUCGGAUUAGCUAGUUGGUGGGGUAAAGGCCUACCAAGGCGACGAUCCGUAACUGGUCUGAGAGGAUGAUCAGUCACACUGGAACUGAGACACGGUCCAGACUCCUACGGGAGGCAGCAGUGGGGAAUAUUGGACAAUGGGCGAAAGCCUGAUCCAGCCAUGCCGCGUGUGUGAAGAAGGUCUUCGGAUUGUAAAGCACUUUAAGUUGGGAGGAAGGGCAGUAAGUUAAUACCUUGCUGUUUUGACGUUACCAACAGAAUAAGCACCGGCUAACUUCGUG
rnacentral:rRNA from 1 species